AUGACAAGGGCAGCACUGACUAAACUUUUCAUCCUCGUGAUCCUCGCUUUUAUCAUCUGCCUCCCAGAAUUCUUCUCACUAUACAAAGUAUUAAAAGUUACCUUCCUCUGUGUGCCCUAUCGACCCUGUGAGCGAGGCAAUCAGGUGACAAAGGGGGAGCUUGGGAGGACUGAGGAUGCUGAAAUUAAGAGAAGGGACAUGUGUGACCCUUACCAGGCUCAAGAACGUGAACAGUGGGAGUUGGCCUGUACACACGAUAAUCGAAGCUACACAACAGAUCCUGUGUCAGACUCCAGGAGAGACGGUGAAGAAAACAGCUGGUUCAUAUGUCAAACAGACACGGGAGUGACAAAAUUACAUAGCAACAUCUCAUCUUCAGAUCCAAAUGUACAUGUGGAAGUGACUGUGGAGCUUCAACUUGGCAAUACAGAGACCCUGAAUCUCACCUUGUAUGACCACAGUAAGACCACCUCCUUACACUUUUACCCUCCUGAGGAGGAGGAGGAAGAGGAGCUGAAGAAGGGACAGGAUGAGGCAUUUUACUGCUGUUUGCCUAUCCUGACAGAAUCAGAGUCAGACAGUCAGAGCCGCUGUCUGCUUCGGUUUGCCAAUAUAACAGUUCUGACUGCAACAGUAAAAGAAAAGCUGCCAUGGAAACAGAAACAUAAAGAUGAGUGGUGGUGUAUAUUUAGGGUGAUGUGGUUGGCUCUCGUCUGUUUAGUGCUCCUGACAAUAGUUACAUCUGUAUUUGGACAAAUCUACCGGAGGAAAUGCUCAUACAAAAAGCCCACGGUGCAUCCUGUUGGUUACAUCUAUACUGUAGAUGGAGAGAAGAACACUGGAGUAACGCCUAAAGUCCUUCACACAUAUGGGCCCCGGACCUGGACAGGACUAUCCCCCAUUGAAGAAAGAGAUAUCCAAGAGGACAUAGAAACUCUGCUGCAUGGAAAUGUCGACAACUGCUAUAAUGCCAUCCAUCCAUCUUCCUCCUCACAGAGGAACAAGCCUGGUGACAGAGGAUGCAAAGACAGAUGA
rnacentral:lncRNA from 1 species